GCUUUACACAUGCAAGUCGAACGAUGAAGCCCUUCGGGGUGGAUUAGUGGCGAACGGGUGAGUAACACGUGGGCAAUCUGCCCUGCACUCUGGGACAAGCCCUGGAAACGGGGUCUAAUACCGGAUAUGACCGUCCAUCGCAUGGUGGAUGGUGUAAAGCUCCGGCGGUGCAGGAUGAGCCCGCGGCCUAUCAGCUAGUUGGUGAGGUAGUGGCUCACCAAGGCGACGACGGGUAGCCGGCCUGAGAGGGCGACCGGCCACACUGGGACUGAGACACGGCCCAGACUCCUACGGGAGGCAGCAGUGGGGAAUAUUGCACAAUGGGCGAAAGCCUGAUGCAGCGACGCCGCGUGAGGGAUGACGGCCUUCGGGUUGUAAACCUCUUUCAGCAGGGAAGAAGCGAAAGUGACGGUACCUGCAGAAGAAGCGCCGGCUAACUACGUGCCAGCAGCCGCGGUAAUACGUAGGGCGCAAGCGUUGUCCGGAAUUAUUGGGCGUAAAGAGCUCGUAGGCGGCUUGUCACGUCGGUUGUGAAAGCCCGGGGCUUAACCCCGGGUCUGCAGUCGAUACGGGCAGGCUAGAGUUCGGUAGGGGAGAUCGGAAUUCCUGGUGUAGCGGUGAAAUGCGCAGAUAUCAGGAGGAACACCGGUGGCGAAGGCGGAUCUCUGGGCCGAUACUGACGCUGAGGAGCGAAAGCGUGGGGAGCGAACAGGAUUAGAUACCCUGGUAGUCCACGCCGUAAACGGUGGGCACUAGGUGUGGGCAACAUUCCACGUUGUCCGUGCCGCAGCUAACGCAUUAAGU
rnacentral:rRNA from 1 species